CACAGGUAUGCACCACAGAUGUCACUAGUCCCCAAGACCGCCGUGUGACUAGAUGGCACACACGACAUGCAAGCAGCACGGAGUACAUAUGAGGCCACACGGAGCUGGUACUGCUGGCAAGACGGUGCCAACUAGUUCAUUUCUAGCAUCUGUUCUGAUUGGCUGGCCUUCUCUUUGGAGCGGAUGGUACCUCUGAUUCCGUGGUUUGACUAUUGCCACUGGAUACAGCUCCCUAAAUCCAGGAGUACCGAAAUGUAGACCACCCGCAGAAUCUUCAGGAAAAGUCUAGCCCUGCGAAGCCAUCCUGGGAGACUCAUGAUCAUGCCAUGCCAUGAAGUCACAUCCUACGUGCCUUAAACUCCUGCCAAAUCAAUGAUAUGUGCUGGGCUGAGAGAGAGAGAGACGGAGGUAUGGAGGGAGAGAGAGACACACACACAGAAGGGAAGAAACCCAUGCAUGCUGGCCAUUCUUCCCUCAAUCCUUCUGGUUUUCAAAAUUGUGCUCAUCCCAGCCUCCGCUUCCAUCCUCAGCACUGGGCAUUGUUACCCACACCACAGGCUCAGCACGGCAUUGACAUGAGAAACAAGAGAAACCUGAAAUCUCCUUUGUGGGUUAAGACAAGAGAUUGCAGUCUGAUUCCAAAGAGCAAAACUGUAAAUACUUUUAUUUAUGCAUGCAAAAAGCAUUUACUGAGCAUCUACUCUGUACCCAGGCACUUUUCUAAGCACUGGGAUAAGAUAGCAGCGGGAAAAAAGUUAAGUGCCUUCCCUCACGGAACUUGCAUCCUAGGGGAGAGAUAGAAAAUAAAAACAUGACAAGAAGUGUCGUGAAGAAUAAU
rnacentral:lncRNA from 12 species